rnacentral:rRNA from 1 species
GCUGGCGACCGGCGCACGGUGAGUAACACGUAUCCAACCUGCCCUUUACUCGGGGAUAGCCUUUCGAAAGAAAGAUUAAUACCCGAUAGCAUAAUGAUUCCGCAUGGUUUCAUUAUUAAAGGAUUCCGGUAAAGGAUGGGGAUGCGUUCCAUUAGGUUGUUGGUGAGGUAACGGCUCACCAAGCCUUCGAUGGAUAGGGGUUCUGAGAGGAAGGUCCCCCACAUUGGAACUGAGACACGGACCACACUCCUACGGGAGGCAGCAUG